ACUGUCCAUGAUGAAUUCUAAACACCUCUUGUAUGAUUCUGUAUGAUUUAUAUAAAGAAUACCAUGCACUACCAACUGAGACAGA
rfam:Asian citrus Psyllid, Diaphorina citri - Florida Strain, whole genome shotgun sequence.